rnacentral:tRNA from 1 species
GGCAGUGUGGCUUAGUGGAAAGAGCACAAGUUGGGGAAUCAGAGGACGUGGAUUCUAAUCCCAGCUCUGCCA